AACGAACGCUGGCGGCAUGCCUAACACAUGCAAGUCGAACGAUGGUCUUCGGAUCAUAGUGGCGCACGGGUGCGUAACGCGUGGGAAUCUGCCCUUGGGUUCGGAAUAACAGUUGGAAACGACUGCUAAUACCGGAUGAUGUCGAUAAGACCAAAGAUUUAUCGCCCGAGGAUGAGCCCGCGUCGGAUUAGCUAGUUGGUGGGGUAAAGGCCUACCAAGGCGACGAUCCGUAGCUGGUCUGAGAGGAUGAUCAGCCACACUGGGACUGAGACACGGCCCAGACUCCUACGGGAGGCAGCAGUGGGGAAUAUUGGACAAUGGGCGCAAGCCUGGUCCAGCAAUGCCGCGUGAGUGAUGAAGGCCUUAGGGUUGUAAAGCUCUUUUACCCGGGAAGAUAAUGACUGUACCGGGAGAAUAAGCCCCGGCUAACUCCGUG
rnacentral:rRNA from 1 species